rnacentral:rRNA from 1 species
GUCGUAACAAGGUUUCUGUAGGUGAACCUGCAGAAGGAUCAUUAGUGAAGAUUUGGGCAGGCCAUACGGACGCCAAAAAGUGUCCCUGGCCGCCUACACCCACUAUACAUCCACAAACCCGUGUGCACUGUCUUGGAGAAAGGCUUCAGAGAAGUUUUUUGUGGCCUCUCUUGGGGUCUUUCUUCGCUACAAACUCGAAUGGUUAGUAUGAACGUGGAACUUGGUUGGACCGUCACUGGCCAACAAACUAUACACAACUUUCGACAACAGAUCUCUUGGUUCUCCCGUCGAUGAAGAACGCAGCGAAACGCGAUAGGUAAUGUGAAUUGCAGAAUUCCGUGAAUCAUCGAAUCUUUGAACGCACCUUGCGCUCUAUGGCAAUCCGUAGAGCAUGCCUGUUUGAGUGCCAUGAAAUCUCCCACCCCGAGCGGUUUUUAAAUGAAACGGCUUGGCGGAUGGGGUCUGGAUGGGUGCCUCUGCCUGCGCUACCUAGCACAGGCUCGCCCGAAAUGCAUGAGCGCCUUGAGACACUUUGCAUCCGCCUCUCUGUUUGGGAGGAGGCGGCCAAGCAGUGUUUUUCUCCUGGCAUGGCAUGAUACGUCAUUUGCUAUGUCGCCUAAAGGAGGAAUGUUUGGUUGUGUCUGCGUGUGCUUCGAACUUGCCUCUGUGGCACAUCCCAAUUUCACUUCUGGUCUCAAAUCAGGUAGGAUCACCCGCUGAACUUAAGCAUAUCAAUAGUCG